ensembl:lncRNA
GAGCCUCUGGAGCUCUGCACCAGAACUCUUGCUGCUGUGUGUCUCUCUGCUGUCAGAUCACUCGGCCGUUCCCCAUAUGGCUACAGUGUCUAUGUGCAGGAGCAGGGUUGCCACGCGGUUACAAUGUGAUUCACAAUUGCACUAUCCUUUCUAAAUUGGCUUCUAAUUGUUUCAUUAUGUAAUUGGCAUGAUACAAUUUUACAUGACUGAAUUACGGCCAGGAUAGGUCAAACAAGGCUCAAGAAUGAUAGGAGCAGUAGGCAUGUCAUCGGAGACCUUCUGAUUUCUGUCUAUCACUGGUAUUAGCAAGUUGUAUGGGAAAGGACUAAGUGAACUACACUUUUUGUCAUAAGCAAGCAGUAGCCGGCAGGCAAUACAGGUAUUAGUCUACCUACACCCUCUGGCUAACAUCAGACUGGCAAGUUUGUGAUCGUAAGAUCCAGGUGAAGCUAGCGUGAGACUUAAAAGAGACACUAGGUCCCCAGUGAAUGGAUAAUUGAAAGUAUAG